AAAAAACACUUUCUCAUGGACGGUGACAGCGAAACGGAUAGCAGUCUUCAGUACCUGCUGGUCUUUGAAGCUCUGGAUUCUGGGACUGUUGGAAAAGCUCCAACAAAAUGAGGAAGAGGAGGGAGAAACACAAUUAGAUUGAAUUACAAUUGGAUGGAAGUCGAGGACAAGGAGAAGGAAGCUUAGGAUGAGGAGGAAGAGAAGCAGCAGGAGCAUCUUUAGGGAUCUCUAUGAUGUCAUUGAGAGGCGGCGGCGAGAGGCGGGACCUCGACUCAUCCAGCUGGACAGCCUGACCAGGAGGAGUCGAACAUUAACUCUGCUCUUCCAGGGCACCCUGCA